UACGUAGGGUGCGAGCGUUGUCCGGAAUUACUGGGCGUAAAGAGCUCGUAGGUGGUUUGUCGCGUUGUCCGUGAAAACUCACAACUCAAUUGUGGGCGUGCGGGCGAUACGGGCAGACUGGAGUACUGCAGGGGAGACUGGAAUUCCUGGUGUAGCGGUGGAAUGCGCAGAUAUCAGGAGGAACACCGGUGGCGAAGGCGGGUCUCUGGGCCGAUAUUGACGCUGAGGAGCGAAAGCGUGGGGAGCAAACAGG
rnacentral:rRNA from 1 species